ACGAGCAUGCUGCAUACGCGGCCUCUUUAUUUGUUAGGAGUUUCAGUGUCUCUAGGGCCUGACACCAAGUUGACCGUUGUGGCCUAGAGCUGUUAUAAGGGAGCUUUUAGCGGCCCUGCUGAGAACAGAGCCAGCACCUCCAGAUUGGCAGGGCAGGGGCUGUUCCUGCUGGGAGCUGCAGGUCACUCCCUGUAGCCCUUGGCUGAUCUUGCUCAUCCACUCCCUCCCUCAUUCAGUAGUUCCUGAGUGCCGCCUCUGUGUGGAGGAGAAGGCAGCCUUCCAGCCCAGGUGGGGCCUGCAGGUACACAAAGGGAGAGGCAGCUGUGCACUAAGCUGGCUGUAGGCUGGGACAGCGUGGCUCCAGAGGUGGUGAUAGAAUGCUCUGGGACUGCAGAGGGAACACAUGCUUGUGAAAGGGAGGAAGGGGCAGUCACCGCAGAGGAGGUGUACUUGAGUUGGACUUUGAGGGAGGAGUUGGAUUUCCACAGUGGAACCGAGCAGCUGAGGCUUUCUCAGCAGCUGAAGAUUACAGCCAGCCAGCCUCAAAUGUUCAGUUUUUCCUGAAUUCCCUUUUUUAAGAGAGUGCAGUAAGUUUUCAACAGAGAUAAAGCAGUCACCUCCAUGUCAUUCAUGUUCUGCAAAUCCUACGUGUAGUUUUUGAUGCUUAGCAGAUGGGAGCAGCCUGGGCCAUAAGAGAAGAGCCUGUGUGUCCACUUGUUUGGACAUCAGUCAGGUGUGGCACAGGGCAGUGAUCGCUGCCUUCCCCUGAGGAACUCAGUUGUACUUUUAUGUGGAGAGGACAAAGAAAGCUGUUGUACAGGGGGCAGGAGACAUUUCACCUGCAAAGCAAGGCACAAAAUACAUAGUCUGUGCCCUGCAUGAGAAACCUAGCAGAACUGUGUGCUGAUUCCCACCCCUGCCUCCCCUUCUGAGAGCGAACCGUCCAUUGUACCAUGGUGGAAGGCAUUUCUGAAGCCUCUGCAAUCGGAGUGAUCUGUUACUUGCCCAUUGAGCCUUAGGGGCAGCAACCAGAUGGUGUGGCUGAAACACAGGCCUUGGCCAGACGUUGUUGGUCAUGUUGGUUCUGCCACUGAUUGUGAAUUACAAAACCUUGGAGAAGUCAUUGUCUUUGUGUGUGCCUCUCAUGUAAGAUGGGGAACACUGUGGCCAUUGCAGAAAAGCAGAUAGGUGGAGCGAGUAUGGAGUGCUUUGUGUGUGUGUGUCAUACGGUGAAUGAAAUGGCACUGAUUGACAUUAUUGAUAGUAAUAACAGGUUUAAUUCAGGAAUAAAACUGGUAAAGUAGGCCAGGUGCGGUGACUUAUGCCUGUAUUCCCAGCACUUUGGGAGGCCAAGGCGGGCGGAUCAUGAGGUCAGGAGUUUGAGACCAGCCUGGCCAAUAUGGUGAAACCCCAUCUUUACUAAAAAUACAAAAAUUAGCUGGGUGUGGUGGUAGUCCUGGGUGCGCCUGUAGUCCCAGCUACUUGAGAGGCUGAAGCAGGAGAAUCGUUUGAACUCGGGAGGUGGAGGUUACAGUGAGCCGAGAUGGUGUCACUGCACUCCAGCCUGGGCUAGAGAGUGAAACUCCAUCUCAAAAAAAAAAAAAAAA
ensembl:lncRNA